rnacentral:misc_RNA from 1 species
CGCACAUUGCGCCCCUCGGUAUUCCGUGGGGCAUGCCUGUUCGAGCGUCAUUUGGACAAUCUCAAGCUCUGCUUGGUGUUGGGCGCCUGUCCUACCUCUGGGUGCGGACUCGCCUUAAAGCAAUUGGCGGCUGGUACUAUGGCCUGGAGUGCAGCAGUAAUGUGCUCCCUGUCCUUGGUCCAGCCCCCAGAAGCGAAACCUUUUUAGCUUGACCUCGAAUCAGGUAGGGAUACCCGCUGAACUUAA